UACGAAGGGGGCUAGCGUUGUUCGGAAUUACUGGGCGUAAAGCGCGCGCAGGCGGUUUGUCGCGUCGGGAGUGAAAUCCACUGGCUUAACUGGUGGCUUGCUUUCGAUACGGGCAGACUGGAGGUAUGCAGGGGAGAACGGAAUUCCUGGUGUAGCGGUGAAAUGCGCAGAUAUCAGGAGGAACACCGGUGGCGAAGGCGGUUCUCUGGGCAUGUCCUGACGCUGAGGAGCGAAAGUGUGGGGAGCGAACAGG
rnacentral:rRNA from 1 species